CUAAGGUCCCAAAGUCAUGGUUAAGUGGGAAACGAUGUGGGAAGGCCCAGACAGCUAGGAUGUUGGCUUAGAAGCAGCCAUCAUUUAAAGAAAGCGUAAUAGCUCACUAGUCGAGUCGGCCUGCGCGGAAGAUGUAACGGGGCUCAAAUAUAGCACCGAAGCUGCGGCAUCAGUAGCAAUACUGUUGGGUAGGGGAGCGUUCUGUAAGCGGAUGAAGAUGGCUCGAGAGGGCUGUUGGACGUAUCAGAAGUGCGAAUGCUGACAUAAGUAACGAUAAAACGGGUGAAAAACCCGUUCGCCGGAAGACCAAGGGUUCCUGUCCAACGUUAAUCGGGGCAGGGUGAGUCGGCCCCUAAGGCGAGGCUGAAAAGCGUAGUCGAUGGGAAACGGGUUAAUAUUCCCGUACUUGGAUAAACUGCGAUGUGGGGACGGAGCAGGUUAGGUUAUCGCACUGUUGGAUAUGUGCGUUUAAGUUGGUAGGUGUGAAGUUUAGGCAAAUCCGGACUUCUUUAACACUGAGAGAUGAUGACGAGGCUCUACGGAGCUGAAGUAACCGAUACCACACUUCCAGGAAAAGCCACUAAGCUUCAGGUUUAUCUAAACCGUACUGAAAACCGACACAGGUGGUCAGGUAGAGAAUACUCAGGCGCUUGAGAGAACUCGGGUGAAGGAACUAGGCAAAAUAGCACCGUAACUUCGGGAGAAGGUGCGCCGGCGUAGAUUGUAGUCCCUUGCGGAUGAAGGUUGAACCGGUCGAAGAUACCAGCUGGCUGCAACUGUUUAUUAAAAACACAGCACUCUGCAAACACGAAAGUGGACGUAUAGGGUGUGAUGCCUGCCCGGUGCUGGAAGGUUAAUUGAUGGUGUAAUCGAAAGAGAAGCUCCUGAUCGAAGCCCCAGUAAACGGCGGCCGUAACUAUAACGGUCCUAAGGUAGCGAAAUUCCUUGUCGGGUAAGUUCCGACCUGCACGAAUGGCAUAAUGAUGGCCAGGCUGUCUCCACCCGAGACUCAGUGAAAUUGAAAUCGCCGUGAAGAUGCGGUGUACCCGCGGCUAGACGGAAAGACCCCGUGAACCUUUACUAUAGCUUGACACUGAACAUUGAAUUUUGAUGUGUAGGAUAGGUGGGAGACUUAGAAGUAGUCACGCCAGUGAUUAUGGAGUCGUCCUUGAAAUACCACCCUUUAACGUUUGAUGUUCUAACGAAGAUUACGAAACGUGGUCUCGGACAGUGUCUGGUGGGUAGUUUGACUGGGGCGGUCUCCUCCCAAAGAGUAACGGAGGAGCACGAAGGUUUGCUAAUGACGGUCGGACAUCGUCAGGUUAGUGCAAUGGUAUAAGCAAGCUUAACUGCGAGACAGACAAGUCGAGCAGGUACGAAAGUAGGUCAUAGUGAUCCGGUGGUUCUGAAUGGAAGGGCCAUCGCUCAACGGAUAAAA
rnacentral:rRNA from 1 species